UAUAUUUAACCUUAAUAGUAAAAUGAAUCUAAACUCAAAUUUUAAAUGACAUGAAACACACUAUAUACAUUUAUCCACAAUUAAUUAAGUUAAUGAAUGUCAUAGAUUUAUGAAUAUCUAAGUUCAUGAAUGGUCAAAGUAUAGAUUAAUGUUAGAUUAGAUGUUAAUUAAGCCUUGAUGACAUGUAAAAAUAAAAAAAAGAAGAAGCUGACAUGGCAGUUAAAAGGAUCCAAACGUGACAAAAAUGAAACUAACGUUACAAUGUCCAUGUGUCACAAAAAUAAACAACAAAGGAUAAAAAUAUACGUAUGCUGUAUAUAUACUAUUUCAUGUCGUCACUUCAUAAUCACUGUUAAACUAUAACAAGAGCAUGUACCAAAAUAAAAGCGACCUUCAAUUUGUUGCAAGAAUAUAUAUAUAUAUAUAGAGAGAGAGAGAGAGAGAGGGAGAGAGAUAAAGAGAGAAAAAUCCAUUUAUAUUGGUGUAAGAGUGAUAUAUUUUUUAUUUUUAAAUCAAAUAAUUAAGUAUAAUUGUUAUGAAUUUAAUUUUGAUCUAAUGAUAAAAAAAUGUGCUGGACUAGCUAAGCCAUAUUAAACCGGAAUUGAGGAAGAUUUUUUUAGUUCACAAAUUAAUUUAGCUAAUACCAUUUUAUAUAGUAUUUCGGUUUCAGUGUGAUCCCUUGCUAUUUUAUGUAAUUUUUAUGUAUUGAAUUGAACCUAUAAUGAGAUGGAUCUGUUUUGUUAACAGUGGAAGGUCCCAGCCCUUGGCCAUAUUUAAAAGCAAAGGAACUUGGCCCAUUAAACAGAGCUUGCAUUCUAACCAAAAACACUAUUUCAGCCUCCACCUUAUUCCUUGAGUUUCAG
rnacentral:lncRNA from 1 species